AAACAGGGUGAGGACAGACAGAAAUUCACUAACAUCAGUCGAGCUCAGGAGACAAUCAAGAUUUGAAGAUGAGCAUCCAAAAACAACAGAUGAAGUUGCUGCUUUUCAUCCUCUCACUGAUGACAGAUAAAAAUGGCUGCCCCAAACCAUUUUAUCAAACUGCAUACAGAAAUAAUAAUACCACCAUCACCUGUCAUUCUCCUGAUGGCAAAUACAAGCCCGCUUUUUUCUGCAAAGCAGAUAACUCCACUUGUCAGAAUGUUUUACCAAAAAGCCCUUCUCCACAGUCAAACUGGAGAAUCAUAUCAACAAACACCAGCAGCAGCAUUUCCAUCAGUCAUGUGUCCUCACAGGAUGCUGGAGUCUACUGGUGUGGAGUGAAAUCAAGUGACAAAGAGUUUUUACUUCGACAAAUACAUCUAGAGGUUAAAGAUGGCUUGGAGGUUAUCAUCGGUGUUACUGUGUCUGUAGCUGUGCUCCUGCUGUUUCUGACAGCUUUGAUCCUCAUCUACAAACGAAAUGGUGCAGCAGGACGGCAUGUCAAAGAGGACUGUAUCUGUGAGGAGAGACAGGAGAACCUGCAGAAGCCAGAAAAUGCAGUGAACUCGAUUUCCAUCAGUGCCAAUAAUCCCAUAAACCACACUGCCUCGCCACAUUACGCUGCCAUCAACUUUCAAGUGAGGUCUGAAAAAGCUGGCGGUGGGAUACUCAAACCCAGCUCUGCUGCCUGUGAGUAUUCUGCUGUGAAGUUCAGCAAAUGUCCAGACAACCUGACUGUGACCCAACCACACAGACUGGUGAAGUAGAUUCUCCACUUAUCAGCAAGAUAAAGCCAAAACCAUAAAAGAUCAGCUCUGUGAGGAAUAUGUCUGUUGUAAAAUGUUAAAAAUUAGCAAGGAAUCAUGUGAUUAACUUUGGGUUUCAGGAUUUAAACCAAGCUAUUCAGAUGAAAGUCUGA
ensembl:lncRNA